rnacentral:lncRNA from 1 species
GAAUGGAUAUCGUUACAAGUACGUGUAUUGAAAAGAAGAGAUAUAUAAAGAGUUGGCUUACACUCGCCACAAGCUACAUCAGAGUCACAUCAGUACAUUACAUAAUCAUCAAGAGUAAGAGCAGGGUCCGACUACGGACGAAAACAAACGAGAAAAAUAAGAACGACGUCCAUCCUUGCUAUCCCAGGCUGCCGGCCUGGAACCCAUCCUAGAUAGAUGAAGAAGAGGAAGAAGAGGCAACUCCAAAUGAACAAUCAACGCGCUCGCGUCAACUAACCUUUACCUGCACCUGCAACUGGGGUUGUAGUAAUCUGUGAGCCACAGGGGACUCAGCAAUCUCAUUUCCAAAGGUAUCAAGACUAGCAAAGCUUAAUGGGUGAGGUAUGGUUAAGUGGUGGGGUAGCAGCAGCUGCUAAGCAUAUAUUUGGUGGCUAACUUACGAGUACAAGAAAUAAGAGGGGGGGAAAGAUCUACGCAUAACGGACGUGAACUACUGAUGAUCAAAAGAAUGAUCCUGAACACCUACCUACGUCAGACAUAACCCCACCAUGUCCUCGAUCGGAGAAGGAACUCACGAAAGAGACAGUCACGGUUACACACACAGUUGGCAUGUUUUAGUUAAGUUAACUUCAAGUUAUCUAGAACCAGUGUUAAACAAAGCUUCCAUGUUGCCACAUAACCGCGGGCACGGCUUUCCGAAAGAUUUAACCCUGCAGGGGUGCUCCAACUAGUCCAUCACAAAUUANN